rnacentral:rRNA from 1 species
GACGAACGCUGGCGGCGUGCUUAACACAUGCAAGUCGAGCGGAGCGGCGAACGGGUGAGUAACGCGUGAGUAACUGCCCCCCUCUCUGGGAUAACGGUUGGAAACGGCUGCUAAUACCGGAUAGUGGGGGAUGACUCGCGUCCUAUCAGCUUGUGGGUGGGGUAGUGGCCUACCAAGGCGACGACGGGUAGCCGGCCUGGGAGGGCGACCGGCCACAUUGGGCUGAGAGACGGCCAAAACGCAUACGGGAGGCAGGAGUGGGGAACAGUGCACAAUGGGGGAAACCCUGAUGGAGCACCGCCGCGUGCGGGAUGACGGCUUUCGGGUUGUAAACCGCUUUCAGCCAUUACGCGGUAGUGGCAGAAGAAGCACCGGCUAACUACGUGCCAGCAGCCGCGGUAAUAC